CCUCUAGGAUUGGAACUAUUGUGUCCAAGACCAAUUGGUCCUAAUGUAGAACUGGAACCUGUUGUAAGCCAUUAAACUGGAGCUAAACCCCAAAUAAUCUGAAAGUUGUGUAAUGUCCUGCUCAGUGAAGGCAUGCAUUCCUGGAAGAGCAGAGGUCCUGAGAAUGUCAAAAGCUCUUGAAAACAGGUCCAGUUUCCACUUUGCCAGACGCUAUGCCAAAGACUGCUCUGAGAGCUAAUUUUGGAUAAUGAGCAAUCAGCAAGGGCAGAACAUCCUUCUUUUCCCUCUCUGGAUUUUGCCAGCAAACAGCAGUAGGCUAGCAGCUCUACAUGGAAUCUCCUGGCCAGCAGCUCUCACCAGGAACAAGAGUCCAGGGCAGGAGCUUCAGAAAGACUACAGGAGCCAUGUGGACUUGAGAAACACUGCUCACAAUGAUGAAGCUGAGUCACAGAAAGGUUUCCAGAAUCUGGAUCACAACUGA
rnacentral:lncRNA from 1 species